UCCACUAAUCGUUGCCCUAUUGUCUUCCCACUUCCGAAUUGCAAGUUGGAAAGAGUGUAAUCAAUCAGUGAUAUUUCUGCAUCGAUUUAUGGCUUCAAAUGCAGAUAUCCCCAACUUCGGCCCUCCUCCUCAAUCUCAAGGAAGAUUGCAACAGUUGGAUGGAAAAAAAGUUACACGUUAGUAGUAAUUAGUGAUGGAAACAAUGGUUGCAAUUAAAAUAAUUAAUAGUGUGAAACGUCUAACGGUUGCAAUUAUAAUAUUGAAGAGGUUUGAGGCAAUGAAAAGUUAUGAGGGCAGUAAAGAGAUAUAAUAGAUGAGAAUUGUAAAGAUUCAACUGGAUGGCCAUUUUUGUUCACACAAUCGUUGAGAUGAAAUAAAAUUUCUAUGAUAUAUAUUCGGAGUGCUUCGAACAUUGAUAUGAUUUGUAGAUGAUUCUCUGGCAUCUCGCCUCCAUAGAAUAUUAAAUUUAACUAUGUGAGGUUUUGUGGCAUGCUAUUGAAAAUCUUUCUGCUAUCGGGUUUGAGGAAAAAAUUUCCUUUAUGUUCAAAAUAUCCAAGCGGCCAUGAAUGGAUAGCUAAAUUGCACGUAUGAACACCCUUAUAUAUACUUCGACCUGCUAUAAUUCAGAAGGUAUGAUAUUUUAUCGCAGAUUCUUAUUCUUGUGAAAGCCUUUUGUUUUAGAUACUUCAUUGGCCUUCCUUUUUUUUAUUUUUGUCAAAAGUUCCGGAUAUUGAGGGCCUAUGCAAGAAAUAGAAAGUGGACUAUAUUAAUUGCUACGGAAAAUUCUCCCUCCUUCUUACGUUUAUGUUGACAAGUUUUGUUUCAUUGCGAUGUUAGAUUUUUAGGGUAGUGUACAACAUGCAUCUUACCUAGCCUUUAAACCUUCAUGUCGGUAUUUUUUAUUUUUUUUUAAGUUCCUAAGCAAGCUAAUCUUAAUAUUAGCAUUUCCAUAGAGUUGGUGGUCGAUCGCGAGAACUUUUUCACAGCAAAAAGUGUGGUGUUCAUAGCACUUCUCUAUUAAUGUGAUUCAAGGCUUCAUGACAAGCUAUUAUCUUCUUUUCUCAAGUUCUUUUAUUUUUUCAAUUUGAGUGUGCAAUUGCUUAAUCUAUUUUUUUACUUUCUGAAAUUAUCUAAAUUUUUGUUGUAUUUGAAAGCAUUUGGAAGUUUUAAAUUAUUUGGUAUGGUUUUUUCAAAAGUUUGUAAGACAAUGUUAGAUGUUGGCUAAGUUUAGUUGCAAAAGAAGUUGUUUAGUCGAUUUAUAAAAUAUCAACGAUGUGAAAGCAUUUAGAUUUUUAAAGAAUUUUGUAAUGAUUUUUAAAAAUAAUUAUAAGGCCAUGCUAGAUGUUUGGCCGGCUUAUUUUGAUAAUAGUAAAUUGCUCUGUGCUAUGUGCUACAUGGAAUUAUAAUUUAAGUCCUUCAUUAAUCGUUUUGGAGAAAUUCCAAGAUUUGCUCUUGCAGUUUAAACGUGAAACAAAAUUGUGAUUUUUGUUUUUCGGCUUUUACUUCUGAAAAGUUUGAUUUUAUUUUAGGGAAAAAGAAGAAGUGCAUGUGAAGAAUACCGUUUUUUAAAACUAAGGUAUUGUCCAUUAAUAUUUUCCCUUUAAUCCAUUAGGGGCCGUUUGGUAGGUGGGAUAAGGAUAACAAUCCCGGGAUAUUUCAUGAGAUUAUUUUAUUAUGUGUUUGGUCAUAGGUACUAUUUAGUCCCAGGUGUCAUAGGUACUAUUUAGUCCCAGGUUAUUUUAUCCCACCAUUUUUAAAAUUGAUCACAUGGGAUAAGUUAUACAUAUAGAAAGUGAGAUAAAAUAAUUUCAUGAGUUAUUCUUGUGUAUCCCAUCCCACCAACCAAUCGAUCCUUUAUAUUAUGCUUCAAUUAAUUGUAUUAAUUCUUAUAAAGAUUAAAAUAAAAGUUGAUGAUAUUUUCCUUUUCUUUAGGAUUCAUUGGCAUAUAUUGUUUUUUCGUUCAUUCGAAAUAUAUGUUAGAUAAUUAAGAAAAUCGCAUUUUUUUUUAUUUUUUUUUUGGGUAUUAUUGAAUGAACUUUUCAAUUUUAUGAUAAUGAGAUAUGACUAAUGAUCUUUAUACAAGAUGUAUCUUAUCUUGUGAGUAUAAGCGAUGAUGCAUGAAUCUUAAGUUUAUUAUUGGUAGUUUGGCAACUUUGAUGCACGAGCUAUUUAUGUCAAAAAAUAUAUAUUCCUCAUUUCAUGUAAUAGCACACCUAAUUGAUGGUAAACAUUAAUUUUUUCAUACAAAUUAUAGCAUUAAUUUUUAAAUUAUCUUAUUUUUUAACCGCGCGAAGCGCGGAUAAGAUUACUAGUGCUAAUUAACUUGGUUUGCGUUGAAAGCCAAGUCGGCUUUCUUCAGUCUUCCGCGGAUGUAUUCCUACACAAACAUUUCAAUCGUUGCCUAUUCUUCUAAUAAUAAUAAUUACCUGAUUAACUCAUAGAUAAUUACACCUCAAACAUUUUGUAACUGACACGUUACUAAUCUUCUUUACUCGAAUACAUCCUCUUAACUCUUAUAUAUGAGUUAUACACUCUCCCUCCUCCUGUAACAUCAGAUCUUCUCCUCCGUUCUCUUAAAAAAAAUCAAUUUCUUUUGUAAAUUGUGAUUCAAUGUUAUCUGUUUUUUCUGUUCUUCUUUUUCUACUUUAUUUAUUAGGUAGAUUUUGUCUUUAUGAUAUGAACUCGGACCUUUUUCAACGUGUUUUUUUAUAUGUAUUUGAGAUCUUUUCCAACUAGAAAUGUUUAACAUUAGAAUAUUAUACUAACACGCUGUCACACCCCAUUUUAACCCGGGUUAAAUUAGAAGUAUGACAUAUUGGAGAUUCCUGUUUUUUGUUGGUUUGUUAGGGAGUCGUCACCUAAUUAUUUACGGUGAAUUAGGACACCUAAAGUUUAUUAAAGUUAUGUUUAAAUUUAACUCUGUUUAAGGUCUGCGAAACUUAAGAUUCUAGGCAAGGGUUCAAUUAGUCUAAAGGGAAGGUAUUAGGCACCCUUUAAGACCCAUUAACAAUGGUUAACCGACCGGACUUAUAGUUAAUUAAAGCUAAGUGUAAAUAUAGUAUUAUAGAAAAGAACAUAACUUGGUAAAUAGGACUGAAGUUAUAGAUAGACGUAUAAGUAAGAAUGCUAUUUAAAAUAGGACUUGUAAAAAUAAUACUUUGUACAAAAGAGUAUUUCUAAUGUUAUUUUGUAGACACGACUUAUAAAUGUCGUCAAGGUUUUAAACGAAAGUAUAAUAAUGUUGUUUGAAAUAAUACUUGUAAAAAAAUGUAGUGAUUUAAUAAAAAGAGUUUAAUUAUAAGUAAACCAAAAAAAAGAAACGGAAUGAGUAAUGUUCAUACGUAUUAUGAAUUACGCCAACUAGCAAAUUAAAAUGUAUUUGUAAAAUUAUUGCAAGAUUAAUAUUAAUGUUUUAACAAAUAUGUAUUUCAAGUAUUCUAAGAUAAAAAGAGUAAAUCUUGAUUCUUUUAGCUCGAUGUGGUCGUGCUAAUUUUGAAAAUCAGUCAUUCAAAUAAAUGUUAUGGAUACUAUAAAUAAGUUUAGAAGAUAAAACGGAAGUGAAUGUAAUUUGCGGAAUUAACUACCCAUUACUAAACUAAACUCCUUAAUGUCAAACUAAGAUUCAUCUAAAUUAAAGAAAUAAGACAAAGUAAAGAAAUCAGUCAUGCAAGGCAAAUUAGAAGUACACAACGAAAUAAGAUAGCGAAAAAAAAUAAUGUCGUAUCUAGCCCGUUUAGGCCCAACUAUUGCGGACUGUUUCCGCUGCUGGGCUUUAGUCCAGAUUUUAACAUGGCUGUAAGGCCGUUUCUGCCAUAUGGGCCUUGGCCCAGAGUUUGUUUGCUGCGAAUGGAAGGCUGAUUCGAGAGAAGGAUUUGGCUGGGAUUUUAGCCCGACACCGAAUGUGGAAGGCGACGAGUCCUCGAACUCGUGCGCGAUGUUCAUGCAUAAAACGAAAGAAAAGAUUAGUAAAGUGAAGAUAUACAAGAGAAUUAUAUGUGAUAUACAGCGCAAUAUACACUGAAUUAUAUAAACAUUUGUAUAUGUCUAUACACCUUGUGUAUAGAUUUAAUUAGUAAGAGAUGGCAGUUAACCUGGGAUUACAAUAUAUAGUGGAACAGCGAAACCCAAAUCAAGUUUUUAUAAAAGAGAAAAAAGUUUACAUGUUGACAGUACAUCAUUAUUGUCCAGGCUCCUAUUGAGCCACAACUUAUAAUUGAGAUAUAUUUUAAUAAUGGGCAAACAUCAUUUUUCGUAUGCACCCAUACGCAAACAGUAGCGGCAGAAUUAAUACGGGGGAAUUUAGAGCGUUAACUGAAAUUCAUUAAGAACCAAAUGUGGGCCAGUAUGAAAUCUAAGCAUACUAUAUUGUAAACUUCAUUUCAACGAACCCCCACAAACUAAUCUAAACACUCAACGGGUUGUAUCGUAUUGUAGACUUUGUUCGACCAAGUCAUAGAAAGUGUAUAUGAGACAAUAUGUCAAGUAGUAAUAACUAAACAUAUGGACAACGUAUUAAACUCAGACCAAAGCACAAAUAAUUCAACAGAAGGACAGUAAGUAGAUUUCCAUUUUAACCCUGAACCAAUUUUGUUUCAGAUAAAGCUGCGUAGGAAUCUCAUGACUCAAAAUAUAGACUCAGAUUAACAACUUGAUUCACUCCUUUUAUAAAUUUUAGGUCUGGACAAACAAAUAUGUUGAUUAAGACUAGUGUCAACUCUCACCUUAAGGCAUUCAAGAUCUUUAAACAAGAUUCAAAGGUAUUUCAGGCAAGCAAGUAACCAAAUGGCCCUGGAUUAAACCUGAUUCUAAAUAGUGAUCCUCUAAACACUCGACCUAAUCAAACCUUUAAGUAUUUCGCACAACUGGAUUCGAAAAAAGGAUAAAGACUCAGCUGGUAAUAAAACAGGUCCCCAAAAUGCAAUGUGCAGAUGCAAAGACAACAAAAUAUUUGUUUCACAAAUAGGUCAUAUGGUAAGCAUUUUAGAUUUCCACUAGUUCUAAGGGCCUAUUUAGUCAAACCCAACCCAGAGAUCAUGCCCAAGUGGAGGAUUUUAAGCAUUAUAGUCCUGAUAUCAGUAUUCUAUAGGUCUUAUUUUAGCUUGAUUUGCCUUUAUCAAAUGAAAUAAGCCAGGCUGAGUUCUGAAUACAUGGUACUCUUAUUAAUAUUCCUGAUCAGUUUAUCUAUUUGAUUUUAUUCUUCAUCAUAUUUAUACCAGGUCAACCAGUUAUUAUACACCAUAAAGCCUACCAAGUCAAUAGGAAACAAAGGCAAAUUACAGGGAAUGUCAAGUCAUGAUACUUGUACAAUAAUGCAACAUCUAUCAUGGAAGACAUUAAGAGUGAACAGAGCAUUUUGUACAAGGAUCCUUUCAACACAGAGUUAAGAUGAUUCUCACUUAGGAAUAGCAGGGUGGGGCAUGACAAUCUCAUCUCUUAGGAGAGGAAUAUCAUAGUUUAAGCUAGUGAGAGUUGCAGACUCAUUCAAAAUACAAGACAAUUAUCAUACAACAACACUUAGAGGUAUAUCUAGGUCAUUAGUUCUUUCAAAAUAAGUAUUGUCACAUAGAGAGGACAAAUGGUCAAACAAUGAUCCAACAACAUGUCAUGUAAGGAUCUAGCACAAGGCAGUCCCAUCAAAACCAUACGAUCUAAACUACUAUUCAAACAGUUAUGUGACAUCCCAUA